rnacentral:misc_RNA from 1 species
GAUGAAGAACGUAGCGAAAUGCGAUACUUGGUGUGAAUUGCAGAAUCCCGUGAACCAUCGAGUCUUUGAACGCAAGUUGCGCCCGAAGCCUUUAGGCCGAGGGCACGCCUGCCUGGGCGUCACACGCCGUUGCCCCCCCGCGCCUCCCUCGGGAGCGUCGGGGGGCGGACGAUGGCCUCCCGUGCGUCACCCCGCGCGGCUGGCACAAAUGCCGGGUCCUCGGCGACGAACGCCACGACAAUCGGUGGUUGUCGAACCUCGGUUGCCCGUUGUGCGCUUUCGUCGCGCUCCGAUCGGCCCGCGACGCUCCCCGCUCCGCUUCGGCCGAGCUUUUGACGCGACCCCAGGUCAGGCGGGGUUACCCGCUGAAUUUAAGCAUAUCAAUAAGCGGAGGA